rnacentral:rRNA from 1 species
UACACACCGCCCGUCACACCAUGGGAGUCGGCUUUACCUGAAGACGGUGCGCUAACCGCAAGGAGGCAGCCGGCCACGGUAGGGUCAGCGACGUGGGGUG